GACGAACGCUGGCGGCGUGCUUAACACAUGCAAGUCGAACGAAGUGGCGAACGGGUGAGUAACGCGUAAUCAACCUGCCCUUUAGAGGGGGACAACAGUUGGACACGACUGCUAAUACCGCAUACUGUAGGAGGGGAUUGCGGCUGAUUAGCUAGUUGGAGGGGUAACGGCCCACCAAGGCGAUGAUCAGUAGACGGGCUGGAAGGAUGAACGACCAAAUUGAGACUGAGACACGGCCCAGACUCCUACGGGAGGCGGCAGUGGGGAAUCUUCCGCAAUGGACGAAAGUCUGACGGAGCAACGCCGCGUGAGUGAUGACGGCCUUCGGGUUGUAAAGCUCUGUUAAUCGGGACGCGUUACCGGAAUAGAAAGCCACGGCUAACUACGUGCCAGCAGCCGCGGUAAUAC
rnacentral:rRNA from 1 species